UUGCCUACGGGACGCAGCAGUGGGGAAUAUUGGGCAAUGGGCGCAAGCCUGACCCAGCAACGCCGCGUGAAGGAAGAAGGCUUUCGGGUUGUAAACUUCUUUUGACAGGGAAGAGUAGAAGACGGUACCUGUCGAAUAAGCCACGGCUAACUACGUGCCAGCAGCCGCGGUAAUACGUAGGUGGCAAGCGUUGUCCGGAUUUACUGGGUGUAAAGGGGGCGCAGACGGCAGCGCAAGCCAGGAGUGAAAGCCCGGGGCGCAACCCCGGGACUGCGCUUGGAACUGCGCGGCUGGAGUGCAGGAGG
rnacentral:rRNA from 1 species